rfam:Gossypium hirsutum cultivar TM-1 unplaced genomic scaffold scaffold1140.1, whole genome shotgun sequence
GAUUAAAAGUUUCAUCCAUUUUCACUGGUUAAAAACUGGUAUGAUUGAUGAAAUAACUAGACAGUUACACAUGACAUGUCACGUGUACCUCAUGAUGACGUAUAAGAACUAGUUUUUAACAUUAAAAAUUGAUGGAAUUUUUAACA